CGUGGGUAACCUGCCCAAGAGACUAGGAUAACACCUGGAAACAGAUGCUAAUACCGGAUAACAACACUAGACGCAUGUCUAGAGUUUAAAAGAUGGUUCUGCUAUCACUCUUGGAUGGACCUGCGGUGCAUUAGCUAGUUGGUAAGGUAACGGCUUACCAAGGCAAUGAUGCAUAGCCGAGUUGAGAGACUGAUCGGCCACAUUGGGACUGAGACACGGCCCAAACUCCUACGGAAGGCAGCAG
rnacentral:rRNA from 1 species